AGAGUUUGAUCCUGGCUCAGGACGAACGCUGGCGGUGUGCUUCACACAUGCAAGUCGAACGGGGUAGCAAUACCUAGUGGCGGACGGGUGAGUAACGCGUGGGAAUCUGCCUUAAAAUGGGGGAUAGCUAGCCGAAAGGCUAAUUAAUACCGCAUAAGCCUAUAUUUCGACAGUUUUAUAGGUUAAAGGAGUAAUCCGUUUUAAGAUGAGCCCGCGUCCGAUUAGCUAGUUGGUAGGGUAAAGGCCUACCAAGGCUUCGAUCGGUAGGUGGCCCGAGAGGGCGAUCACCCACAAUGGAACUGAGACACGGUCCAUACUCCUACGGGAGGCAGCAGUGGGGAAUUUUACGCAAUGGGCGAAAGCCUGACGUAGCGACACCGCGUGAACGAAGAAGCCUUUUGGGGUGUAAAGUUCUGUCGGCUGGGACGAAAAAAAUGACGGUACCAGCAAAGGAAGCAUCGGCUAACUACGUGCCAGCAGCCGCGGUAAGACGUAGGAUGCAAGCGUUGUCCGGAUUUAUUGGGCGUAAAGAGUUCGUAGGCGGUUUGUUAAGUCUGGUGUUAAAAAUCGGGGCUCAACCCCGGGGCUGCAUUGGAUACUGGCAGACUGGAGUGCGGUAGAGGUAAGUGGAAUUUCUGGUGUAGCGGUGAAAUGCGUAGAUAUCAGGAAGAACACCAGUGGCGUAGGCGACUUACUGGGCCGUAACUGACGCUGAGGAACGAAAGCCAGGGGAGCGAAUGGGAUUAGAUACCCUGGUAGUCCAA
rnacentral:rRNA from 1 species